rnacentral:misc_RNA from 1 species
GAUGAAGAACGUAGCGAAAUGCGAUAAGUAAUGUGAAUUGCAGAAUUCAGUGAAUCAUCGAAUCUUUGAACUCACAUUGCGCCCAUUAGUAUUCUAGUGGGCAUGCCUGUUCGAGCGUCAUUAAGUCCACUUAAGCCCUGCUUAGUGUUGGGAGACUGCUCCAGCGGUGCUACCCUGUAGCUACCCUGCAGCUCCUCAAAGACAGCGGCGGAGUUGUGGUAUCCUCUGAGCUUAGUAACUUGUUCUAGCUUUCGAGUACACCACUUCCCCUGCCGUAAAACCCUUAAUUUUUAAUGGUUGACCUCGGAUCAGGUAGGAAUACCCGCUGAACUUAAGCAUAUCAAUAAGCGGAGGA